CUCGCUCUCCCGAGGGCACGGCAGCAGGGAAGAUUCGCCACGGCCGACGUUAGCGUUCAAAACCUGACGCUCAAAUUUACAGAUGUUGUUCUUCUAUGGGCUUACGAGACUCUUCUAGUGACAUUAACACGGCACCGGAGUGACACGGGAUACCACCACGGUUGGCUUCCCUCGGGGUUUUGGGAGCUGCUACAUGCAGCAGAACGUCGCAUUAUGCACAUGCAUCGCGCAGGAGUGUCGUGCAGGAGCUGCUACAUGCAGCAGAAUGUCGCAUUAUGCACAGGCAUCGCGCAGGAGUGUCGUUCUAAGGCACAAUGACAGCAGCCGAACUGCACGUUAUGGCUUCGGCUCUUUCUUAUGUGGUAAUCUGAUCCGUGUUCACAUUUUGGGAAUUUGUUCCCACAAAAGCCUGACAAAUUGAAGAAGUGUGACGCUUCAAAUGAAUUUUCUGCCCGAGUUCAAUGAGGCCGUGGCCCGAUUCGUCAUAAAAUCCACAAGCCAGUCCCCACCUGUUUUGCAGAAAAGUCUGCUCGCGGGGAGGAAGAGUGUGAUUGAUUCUCAGAAGUCCCCGGAUGAAUCCGGAAUAAUCUGUGUGAAUGUGUAGAAGGAGGUUCAGUACAUCUUGCUGAUGGGAUGUGAUGUUCUAUCAUACUCACCAUGCAGAAGAAAAAUCAUCCUGAUGCUCAGUUUCUUAUGCAGCUGUUAAAAGAUGUUUACAGAGCCUGCUUAACCUUCACUUAUGUUUUUAAUACCAAGGAUACUUGUGCAAUAACGGGAUCUAUCAGCUGUUUCGAAUACUUAUGGCCCGUCAGGCACAGCACAGGAGAUAAUGGCUCCGUGCAUUUCUAAUUAUGCAAAGAGGUGUUAUUAGUUUGCAUGCUUUUUAUUAGUUUGCUAUGAAUGAGUAACGAAGUUAGUGUAGCUUAGAAAUGCAGGAGGAAGUAUGACUUCAGACUGCAAUGAGAUAUUUUUUAUAUAAAAACACUUAAAUUAUUCACAUUGUUAAAAUGCUUCCAAGUAAGAUGAUUUGGUUACUGAUAAUCGGGAAUAAGGAAUACUGUACUAUACUAUACAAAACUUUACUAUACUGUAGUCCAUACCACAUCAAAGAGUUAUCAAAACUGUCACAAAGUGAUAAAGAGUUAUUUUUA